CGGUCACGUUACAAAAUUAGCUCUUUAAUUAUUAUUAUAAUUAUUUUUCCUCGGUCUCCAUUUAAAUUCUCUAAUUUCUCGUAUAGGACUACUGGGGUGACGUCAUACCUCGGUGAUGGAACGUACUCCACCUAUCGAGAGUGAUUUCGUUUUCUGAGAGAGUUUGACGUUUACCUUGGCGGAGAAGCGCCUCUCGUUCUUUACUUGACUGUGAGCUGUGGUGUCGAAUAGAUAUACCAUAUAGAAUGGCGGAUGAUUUCCUCCAACUUAUUUUAUCACAUAAGAAAUUUAACGUAAAGUAAAAAGUUACCACCAAGGAUUUUCUGGAGUUAGGGAGACAUGUGUGUGACAACUCCUGUUGGAGCCAACUAGGAAUCAUUCGCCAUUUGGGAGAAACCCUACCAUGAAGUCAUAGACCUUAUUUGACCACCUAGAGAAACCACUACAGCCACAGUCAAGUCAUCAUGGGAGUAUGUCUAAUUGGGAGCAAGCUAUGGGAGCGUUCCAGCUCAGUUUUCGUCUUGGCACCUGGGCCUACAGGAGUCAUGGGUCGCACCAUCCUGGUGCAUCAUUUUCUAGGAUGCAACCGCAACCUUUUUAGGAAUCAUUGGGAUUCGUUUGGAAACAAUUAGUGUGUUUUAGUAACUAUUGGUUUUUUUUUACAUUUCAGACUCUCGGUUUAAUGCGCUAUGUUAAUUAAUUUUUUUUCCAGAUUUAGUUUACCUCUGGUUUUUUUUUAAUAUGACAUAUUUGUAUAUUAGAUUAUUUGGUUCCCAAACUUUGUAUCUACGGUAACUUCUUGUGCACAGGAAUAAGCCUAGAGAAAAUUAGGUUUUUAAUGCUUUAUUAUUGCUUUGAUAUUGGUUUAUGUAAUUCGGGUAAAUUUAUUUUUUAAUAUUACUAGCUUGUUUCCCAAAUAUUUUACUGUUAUUUGCUUUAUUCCAUUUGUUCGGUUAAUUUAUGUCAUCGUCGGUAUUUAUCUCAACUUCAUUUCUAUUUCAUUCCUUGUAUAUUUAACUUGCAUACUUCAUUAUUGUAUUUUCCCUUAGUGAGGCUUGGGCCUAUUUAUUUGUAGUAUUUUCAUCUUUGUCAGUUUCCUUUAGUUGUACGUAGCAGGCGUACUAUAACCAUUUGGUAGAAGACUUAUGUAAUUUUGUACCCUAUAUGUUAGUGAGAGGUACUUAUACCUGUAAUUUUGUAACAGAUAACAUUAUUGUUGUUAUCUUAGAGAUAACUUUUUGUAUAACUUAUGUCAUUUUAGAGUCACAUGAUAUACACUUUGUGUAACUCAGAGAUUGUCAAAAAUCUAGUAGUUAUUUUUAAUAAAUAUGUAUUUAUUUUGUA